CAGCUAUAGAGUCAUAAGUUAUUUUGUAGCCACUUUGAGUUACGAUAAUUACUAUAUUAAUUUACGAUAUUAUAGUCACUCCAUACUAAGUGGUUUACUACAAUGUUAUGGUAAAUAUCUCCAUGUGUUGUGUUAUAGUAACCCAACUAUUGUAAAUAUGUAUUGAUAUUAUCGUAAAUUAGUGUAUAAAUUAACGAAAAUGGAGGUGGCUACAGAAUAAUUUAUUUUGUAGCUA
rnacentral:pre_miRNA from 1 species